CGCCCCUUUAUGGGAGGCAGCAGUGGGGAAUCUUGCACAAUGGAGGAACUCUGAUGCAGCGAUGCCGCGUGAGUGAAGAAGGCCCUUGGGUUGUAAAGCUCUUUCBUCGGGGAAGAAAAUGACUGUACCCGAAUAAGAAGGUCCGGCUAACUCGUGCCAGCAGCCGCGGUAAUACGAAGGGACCUAGCGUAGUUCGGAAUUACUGGGCUUAAAGAGUUCGUAGGUGGUUGAAAAAGUUGGUGGUGAAAUCCCAGAGCUUAACUCUGGAACUGCCAUCAAAACUUUUCAGCUAGAGUAUGAUAGAGGAAAGCAGAAUUUCUAGUGUAGAGGUGAAAUUCGUAGAUAUUAGAAAGAAUACCAAUUGCGAAGGCAGCUUUCUGGAUCAUUACUGACAGUGAGGAACGAAAGCAUGGGUAGCGAAGAGGAUUAGAUACCCUCGUAGUCCAUGCCGUAAACGAUGUGUGUUAGAUCGUUGGAAAUUUAUUUUCAGUGUCGCAGC
rnacentral:rRNA from 1 species